GCAGAUGCUGCAAAGGGUAUGACUGUUCGUCAAAUAAAGUUAUACAUGAGCUGGGUUCAAAACGAUGUAAAUCAGUUUGGUUUCUAUCUGGUAGAAUGACGAAAACUUAGGGACUUUUAUUUUAGUAUGAGAAGACCGAAAAGAAAAAGCCUCUUGUUCCUAAUUAUUUUUCCAAAAGUAACGUUAGGUAGCUACGCUUUUCAAGGAUAAAAAAUGAAUGCAUAUAUUUUUGAAACCUCGCCCAAA
rnacentral:rRNA from 1 species